CAGUCGCCGCGGUAAUACGUAGGGUGCAAGCGUUAAUCGGAAUUACUGGGCGUAAAGCGUGCGCAGGCGGUUAUAUAAGUCAGAUGUGAAUCCCCGAGCUUAACCUGGGAACUGCAUCCAAAACUGGCAGGCUAGAGUAGGGCAGAGGGUGGUGGAAUUUCCUGUGUAGCGGUGAAAUGCGUAGAUAUAGGAAGGAACACCAGUGGCGAAGGCAAUCCCCUGGACCUGUACUGACGCUCAUGCACGAAAGCGUGGGGAGCAAACAGGAUUAGAUACCCCCGUAGUCCCUGUCUCUUAUACA
rnacentral:rRNA from 1 species